AAAACGACUCUCGGCAACGGAUAUCUCGGCUCUCGCAUCGAUGAAGAACGUAGCGAAAUGCGAUACGUGGUGUGGAUUGCAGAAUUCCGUGAAUCAUCGAGUUUUUGAACGCAAGUUGCGCCCAAAGCCAUUUGGUUGAGGGCACGCCUGCUUGGGCGUCAC
rnacentral:rRNA from 1 species